rnacentral:rRNA from 1 species
UGUAUAAUGGGUCAGCGACUUAUAUUCUGUAGCAAGGUUAACCGAAUAGGGGAGCCGAAGGGAAACCGAGUCUUAACUGGGCGUUAAGUUGCAGGGUAUAGACCCGAAACCCGGUGAUCUAGCCAUGGGCAGGUUGAAGGUUGGGUAACACUAACUGGAGGACCGAACCGACUAAUGUUGAAAAAUUAGCGGAUGACUUGUGGCUGGGGGUGAAAGGCCAAUCAAACCGGGAGAUAGCUGGUUCUCCCCGAAAGCUAUUUAGGUAGCGCCUCGUGAAUUCAUCUCCGGGGGUAGAGCACUGUUUCGGCAAGGGGGUCAUCCCGACUUACCAACCCGAUGCAAACUGCGAAUACCGGAGAAUGUUAUCACGGGAGACACACGGCGGGUGCUAACGUCCGUCGUGAAGAGGGAAACAACCCAGACCGCCAGCUAAGGUCCCAAAGUCAUGGUUAAGUGGGAAACGAUGUGGGAAGGCCCAGACAGCCAGGAUGUUGGCUUAGAAGCAGCCAUCAUUUAAAGAAAGCGUAAUAGCUCACUGGUCGAGUCGGCCUGCGCGGAAGAUGUAACGGGGCUAAACCAUGCACCGAAGCUGCGGCAGCGACACUAUGUGUUGUUGGGUAGGGGAGCGUUCUGUAAGCCUG